rnacentral:rRNA from 1 species
UACCAGCACCCCGAGUGGUCGGGACGAUUAUUGGGCCUAAAGCAUCCGUAGCCGGUUUUACAAGUCCUCCGUUAAAUCCAGCUGCUUAACAGAUGGGCUGCGGAGGAUACUAUAAGACUAGGAGGCGGGAGAGGCAAGCGGUACUUAGUGGGUAGGGGUAAAAUCCGUUGAUCCAUUGAAGACCACCAGUGGCGAAGGCGGCUUGCCAGAACGCACUCGACGGUGAGGGAUGAAAGCUGGGGGAGCAAACCGG